rnacentral:tRNA from 1 species
GGCUGUAGCUCAGUGGUAGAGCACUUGCCUAGCACUUGUGAGUCCCUGGGUUUGAUCCUCAGCACCA